CCUACGGGAGGCAGCAGUAAGGAAUCUUCCACAAUGGACGAAAGUCUGAUGGAGCAACGCCGCGUGCAGGAUGAAGGCUUUCGGGUCGUAAACUGCUUUUAUAUGGGAAGAUUAUGACGGUACCAUAUGAAUAAGGACCGGCUAACUACGUGCCAGCAGCCGCGGUAAUACGUAGGGUCCAAGCGAUAUCCGGAAUUACUGGGCGUAAAGCGUGUGUAGGUGGAUUAAUAAGUGUGAUGCGAAAUCCGGCGGCUCAACCGUUUGGACUGUGUCGCAUACUGUUAGUCUAGAGGACGGCAGAGGUAAGUGGAAUUACGGGUGUAGCAGUGAAAUGCGUAGAUAUCCGUAGGAACACCAAUGGCGAAGGCAGCUUACUGGGCCACACCUGACACUGAGACACGAAAGCGUGGGGAGCGAACAGGAUUAGAUACCCUGGUAGUCCACGCCGUAAACGAUGCAUACUAUUAGUAUGGGGUAUCGACCCCCUGUGCUGAGAAGCUAACGCGAUAAGUAUGCCGCCGUCGGGAGGUACGAGCGCGACGACGUUAAACUAACGAAAGGAAGUUAGUACGGCGUGAGACGUCGCCGACGGACGACGACGAGGGAGGAGG
rnacentral:rRNA from 1 species